rnacentral:misc_RNA from 1 species
GUGAAUCAUCGAAUCUUUGAACGAAAAUUGCACUCUCCUCGGAGAGUAUGCCUGUUUGAGGAUCAGCCUAUAAAAAAUCGACAUCGUUGCUGUUUCGCGGUGGCGUUCGUCGGAAAUUGGGUCAUCUUAAAUCUUUUGGUUUUAAGCGACUUAAAAUUUUCUUUUUGGUUCCAUGAACGUUUCUAAGUUUUUUUUCUUUACACGUUUAAGGUAUGGAUUUUUAUUAGACGUUACUAUAAUACCGGAUC